AUCCCUGUGUGAUCCCCAGGACUAAUUGGAAAGCCAGAAAAUAGAAGUUAAAGAUGAAAUAGAUGUGCCUGAAAAUAUAUUUAUUCAGCGUGGUCAUUCUAUUGAGCUGACCUGUAAAACAGGAUAUGUCCUGGAAGCAUAUUCUUCCCAAUCAGCUUUUGUAAUCCAGUGUGAUGGGACACCAUCCGUGAUUCCUAAAUGCAAAGAAAUUACAUGCAAUUCUCCAAGAAUAUCAAAUGGUUCUUUCCGACCUCAAAGAACUUUAUACCAUGAUGGAGAUCUAAUUCGAAUUCUGUGUGACAGUGGAUUUACUUUUGAACCUGAUAAUGGAGAAAAGGUAGUUGAGUGCAC